rnacentral:rRNA from 1 species
UAAAUUGAGAGUUUAAUCCUGGCUCAGGACGAACGCUGGCGGCGUGCCUAAUACAUGCAAGUCGAGCGAGUCUGCCUUGAAGAUCGGAGUGCUUGCACUCUGUGAAACAAGAUACAGGCUAGCGGCGGACGGGUGAGUAACACGUGGGUAACCUGCCCAAGAGAUCGGGAUAACACCUGGAAACAGAUGCUAAUACCGG